UACGUAGGUGGCAAGCGUUGUCCGGAUUCACUGGGCGUAAAGCGCGCGCAGGCGGUCUUCUACGUCUGGGGUGAAAACCCGGGGGCUCAACCCCGGGACUGCCUUGGAUACGGGAAGACUUGAGGAUCGGAGAGGCAAGGGGAAUUCCACGUGUAGCGGUGAAAUGCGUAGAGAUGUGGAGGAACACCUGGUGGCGAAGGCGCCUUGCUGGCCGAAUUUCUGACGCUGAGGCGCGAAAGCGUGGGGAGCAAACAGG
rnacentral:rRNA from 1 species